UCCCUGGUGGCUCAGAUGGUAAAGCGUCUGCCUGCAAUGCGGGAGACCUGGGUUUGAUCCCUGGGUUGGGAA
rfam:Ovis aries breed Texel chromosome 6, whole genome shotgun sequence.